rnacentral:rRNA from 1 species
GUGCCAGCCGCCGCGGUAAUACGAAGGGGGCUAGCGUUGUUCGGAAUUACUGGGCGUAAAGCGCACGUAGGCGGAUACUUAAGUUAGGGGUGAAAUCCCGGGGCUCAACCCCGGAACUGCCUUUGAUACUGGGUAUCUCGAGUCCGGAAGAGGUGAGUGGAAUUCCGAGUGUAGAGGUGAAAUUCGUAGAUAUUCGGAGGAACACCAGUGGCGAAGGCGGCUCACUGGUCCGGGACUGACGCUGAGGUGCGAAAGCGUGGGGAGCAAACAGGAUUAGAAACCCUCGUAGUCC